rnacentral:ncRNA from 2 species
UAAAUAUCAAGAAGCGGUGAGAGAUUUGGCUCGUUGACCCGCUACCAACCGUUCGACUAGUUGUCUAAAGGCGCUCACGGUGGUAAAUCCAACCCGAAAGGGAAAGAUACGGC